rnacentral:rRNA from 1 species
AACGUAGGGUCCGAGCGUUGUCCGGAUUCAUUGGGCGUGAAGAGCUCGUAGGCGGCUCAGUAAGUCGGAUGUGAAAACUCAGGGCUCAACCCGGAGACGCCAUCCGAUACUGCUGUGGCUUGAGUCUGGUAGGGGAACACGGAAUUCCUGGUGUAGCGGUGAAAUGCGUAGAGAUGUGGAGGAACACCAAUGGCGAAGGCAGCCUCCUGGGCCAACACUGACGCUCAUGCACGAAAGCGUGGGGAGCAAACAGG